rnacentral:rRNA from 1 species
UACGUAGGGGGCUAGCGUUGUCCGGAAUCAUUGGGCGUAAAGAGCGUGUAGGCGGCCCGAUAAGUCCGCUGUGAAAGUCCAGGGCUCAACCCUGGAAUGCCAGUGGAAACUGUCGGGCUGGAGUCCGGAAGAGGCGAGUGGAGUUCCUGGUGUAGCGGUGAAAUGCGCAGAUAUCAGGAGGAACACCAAUGGCGAAGGCAGCUCGCUGGGACGGUACUGACGCUGAGAAGCGAAAGCAUGGGGGGCGAACAGG